CCUACGGGAGGCUGCAGUGGGGAAUAUUGGGCAAUGGAGGAAACUCUGACCCAGCAACGCCGCGUGAAUGAUGAAGGUCUUCGGAUUGUAAAGUUCUUUUCUAAGGGAAGAAGAAAGUGACGGUACCUUAGGAAUAAGCCUCGGCUAACUACGUGCCAGCAGCCGCGGUAAUACGUAGGAGGCAAGCGUUAUCCGGAAUGACUGGGCUUAAAGGGUGCGUAGGUGGUUAAGCAAGUUAGUAGCGUAAUUCCGGGGCUCAACUUCGGCACUACUACUAAAACUGUUGGACGUGAGUGCAGGAGGGGCAACUGGAAUGUCUAGUGUAGCGGUGGAAUGCGUAGAUAUUAGGAAGAACACCGAUGGCGAAGGCGAGUUGCUGGACUGUAACUGACACUGAGGCACGAAAGCGUGGGGAGCAAACAGGAUUAGAUACCCUUGUAGUC
rnacentral:rRNA from 1 species